rnacentral:rRNA from 1 species
UACGGGAGGCAGCAGUGGGAAAUAUUGCACAAUGGGCGCAAGCCUGAUGCAGCCAUGCCGCGUGUAUGAAAAAGGCCUUCGGGUUGUAAAGUACUUUCAGUCGUGAGGAAGGUGUUAAGGUUAAUAACCUUAGCAAUUGACGUUAGCGACAGAAGAAGCACCGGCUAACUCCGUGCCAGCAGCCGCGGUAAUACGGAGGGUGCGAGCGUUAAUCGGAAUUACUGGGCGUAAAGGGCACGCAGGCGGUUAAUUAAGUUGGAUGUGAAAUCCCCGGGCUUAACCUGGGAAUGGCAUUCAAGACUGGUUAGCUAGAGUCUUGUAGAGGGGGUAGAAUUCCAUGUGUAGCGGUGAAAUGCGUAGAGAUGUGGAGGAAUACCGGUGGCGAAGGCGGCCCCUGGGACAAAGGACUGACGCUCAUGUGCGAAAGCGUGGGGAGCAAACAGGGAUUAGAUACC